rnacentral:rRNA from 1 species
UACGUAGGGUGCAAGCGUUUGUCCGGAAUUAUUGGGCGUAAAGAGCUCGUAGGCGGUCUGUCGCGUUCUGCUGCGAAACUCAGGGCUUAACCCUGAGCUUGCAGUGGGUACGGGCAGACUAGAGGUGUGGUGGGGGGAGACUGGAAUUCCUGGGUGUAGCGGUGGAAUGCGCAGAUAUCAGGAGGACACCAAUGGCGAAGGCAGGUCUCUGGGCCACAACUGACGCUGAGGAGCGAAAGCGUGGGGAGCGAACAGG